rnacentral:rRNA from 1 species
UACGUAGGGGGCAAGCGUUGUCCGGAUUUACUGGGCGUAAAGCGCGCGUAGGCGGGGGAGCAAGUCCGGUGUGAAAGCCCCCAGCUCAACUGGGGAAGGUCGCUGGAAACUGUUUCUCUUGAGGGUGACAGAGGGAAGUGGAAUUGCUGGUGUAGCGGUGAAAUGCGUAGAGAUCAGCAGGAACACCCGUGGCGAAGGCGGCUUCCUGGGUCACCACUGACGCUGGAGGCGCGAAAGCGUGGGGAGCGAACGGG